UCAUUAAAUCUUUUAUARUUUAUUUGAUGGUACCUACUACUCGGAUACCCGUAGUAAAUCUAGAGCUAAUACGUGCGUAAAUCCCGACUUCUGGAAGGGACGUAUUUAUUACAUAAAAGGACGACCGGGCUCUGCCCGACUCGCGGUGAAUCAUGAUAACUUCACGAAUCACAUGGSCUUGCUCCGGCGAUGUUUCCUUCAAAUUUCUGCCCUAUCAACUUUCGAUGGUAUGAUAGAGGCCUACCAUGGUGGUAACGGGUGACGGAGGAUUAGGGUUCGAUUCCGGAGAGGGAGCCUGAAAAACGGCUACCACAUCCAAGGAAGGCAGCASGCGCGCAAAUUACCCAAUCCUGAACAGGGAGGUAGUGACAAUAAAUAACAAUACUGGGCCUUUUCAGGUCUGGUAAUUGGAAUGAGUACAAUCUAAACCCCUUAACGAGGAUCAAUUGGAGGGCAAGUCUGGUGCCAGCAGCCGCGGUAAUUCCAGCUCCAAUAGCGUAUAUUUAAGUUGCUGCMGUUAAAAAGCUCGUAGUUGGAUUUCGGGUGGGGCCUGCCGGUCCGCCSUUUCGGGGUGCACUGGCASGGCCCACCUUGUUGCCGGGGACGGGCUCCUGGGCUUCUCUGUCCGGUACUCUCAGACGGCGCUGUUACUUUGAGUAAAUUAUAGUGUUCUCAGCAGGCCUACGCUCUGAAUACA
rnacentral:rRNA from 1 species